rnacentral:lncRNA from 1 species
CAACAUUUAACAGUGAGGAAAACCUAUACCAUAUAGUCGGCUAUAAAAGACACCAAUAUAAAAAUAAAUGUGAAAAAAUAAAAACGAGAAAACUAACGGUUAUGUAUUUAUAACUUAUGGAUUAUUUAUCAAAGAAAAAAAAUAUGACAGAUCUAUAUAACCUAUGUUAUACAGGCCCAUGACGUAGGACCGACACGAAAAAAAUGCGGCGGGAUUAAACAUGUGAGGCC